GACGAACGCUGGCGGCGUGCUUAACACAUGCAAGUCGAACGGAAAGGCCUCUUUCGGGGGGUACUCGAGUGGCGAACGGGUGAGUAACACGUGAGUAACCUGCCCUUGACUUUGGGAUAACUUCAGGAAACUGGGGCUAAUACCGGAUAGGAGCUCCUGCUGCAUGGUGGGGGUUGGAAAGUUUCGGCGGUUGGGGAUGGACUCGCGGCUUAUCAGCUUGUUGGUGGGGUAGUGGCUUACCAAGGCUUUGACGGGUAGCCGGCCUGAGAGGGUGACCGGCCACAUUUGGACUGAGAUACGGCCCAGACUCCUACGGGAGGCAGCAGUGGGGAAUAUUGCACAAUGGGUGGAAGCCUGAUGCAGCAACGCCGUGUGCGGGAUGACGGCCUUCGGGUUGUAAACCGCUUUCGCUCAUGACGAAGCUUUGUGUGACGGUAGUGGGUAAAGAAGCACCGGCUAACUACGUG
rnacentral:rRNA from 1 species